CGUUUUCUCCUUCUCCACUUACCCAUCGAACCAGAUAAAGAAUGAAGUAGCUGAUAAGAAGAACACCAAUAAUUCCACUGCAACAGUCUUUCUGAUGCUCGCCUCCUCCCACUCUAUUCCGAAUGAUUUAUUAGAUCAGAAGCUCUAAUAUUGUAGAGCAGCAAGCUACAUCUGUAGCAGACAAGAAGAACGACAAUAGCUUUCUUAGAUUGAAAGAAUGGACGGUCGCGUUGGUUUAGGAUUCCAAGUCUUAAUCCACAGACUUCACAUCUGUUUCAAUGCACAGCUCCGAAAAGCUUCUUGAGUUCCUUCAAUUCUCCUUCAUUCGUUCGUGAGUUCCUCCAAAUAAUCCUCUAUAUAUGCUUGUACAGAGGACACAAGCCCAAAUUCUCCUUCACAUCUGUUUCAAUGCACAGCUCCGAAAAGCUUCUUGAGUUCCUUCAAUUCUCCUUCAUUCGUUCGUGAGUUCCUCCAAAUAAUCCUCUAUAUAUGCUUGUACAGAGGACACAAGCCCAAAUUGGGAACUCAGGCGCUCCUGUUUGUGCGAGUAAGAGAAGACUGUAGACUUCCUAUGAAUUUGGUGAAUCCUGGAUAGUGGAUACAAUCAAACCGUCGGCUGACAUUUAAACCAGACAAAGUACACGGGGGUGCUCUUGCUUCACCAAAGUCGUUGGUUUGUUUUCUUUCUUUUAUC